UACGUAGGUGGCGAGCGUUGUCCGGAUUACUGGGCGUAAAGGGAGCGUAGGCGGACUUUUAAGUGAGAUGUGAAAUACUCGGGCUCAACUUGAGUGCUGCAUUUCAAACUGGAAGUCUAGAGUGCAGGAGAGGAGAAUGGAAUUCCUAGUGUAGCGGUGAAAUGCGUAGAGAUUAGGAAGAACACCAGUGGCGAAGGCGAUUCUCUGGACUGUAACUGACGCUGAGGCUCGAAAGCGUGGGGAGCAAACAGG
rnacentral:rRNA from 1 species